GCGCCUGUAUUGCUCUGACCCGCAGCUCUUGACCCAGAAUUUGGCCCCGCUUGUUCACUUGCACCACUCUCAUCUCUUGUACUCGUUGAGGCCCGCCCUUUAGAUGAUUUUGGAGCAGUGUCAUCUUGUUCACCACAUUCAUGUUGUUUACGUGGACGAGUUGAGCCUCGUCUUUUAUCGUAAGCUUGUCUUGAAGAGGGUUCUGACAGGACCUCCCAGGCCUCGGAAACAAGCUUGAAUGCACCGUCAGCCGCUGCAGAGCUGUUCUUGUCG
rnacentral:lncRNA from 1 species